rnacentral:lncRNA from 1 species
GUUAGAAGCCACCGCUCCUCAGCACGAAGUGUUGCUUGGCCAACACAGUCUUAGGAAAUAGUGAGCUGGUUACCGGUGGUAGCAGAGACCACAAGUGGUUGCCCCCAGGCCCAUCCUUCCCUUCUUCAUUUAGUAAACACAAAAUCCCAGCUUUUGCCAGCACUCUUUUCACCUCCCUUGCAGCUCCAGGUGAUGAAAUGAGUCAAUUCUUGCUGAGAACAUGUAAGCAGAAUCAAAGUGCUAGGCCGACUCCUUAAAGGAAACGCUUUGUCUUUUUUCCCUUUCCUGCCAGUCAGAAUAUGGGUCCAACAGAGGUGGUGGUGAGUUAUUUGUGAAUAUGCAGACCAGGGCGACCCCCGAGGGGACGAAGGGAUCACUAAGAGAAGCAGCCUUGGUCCCUCCAGAGCAUCCCUCGACUACUCACGCUGGAACCGUCGUGUAAGAGGGAACUGAAUGAACUUUUUGUGUGUAAGCCACUGAAUUUUGGGGAAGGGAGAUGUGCAAAAACCAGUCAUUGUUUUUAUAGAUGACUCUGAUUCUAGUGUUUACUGCACUAAUGUAUUUAUCUACUUCUUUGUUCCCUUCUCUAGAAUAUUUCUUUCUUUCCGAGCUGCUAGCGUAGAGGAGGCAGUCCAUGAGUGUUUGUCAAAGCUGAAAAACCAUCAUGGUGUUACACAAUUUGUACUGUUAUGUCCCAUCUCCCACUUCCAAACGCAAGUCAGAUUCAAGCUGGCUCCAACAGGGACCCGCCAUCAGUCUAGGAAUUAACACCACCAACUAUGGUGGGAGGACUUCAGUCUAAAGCAGAAAGGAGGAUAUGAAAUGGAGAAUCUCAUUCAAGUGCCUCCGAAGAACGGAACUUAAGAACAGAGAGCCUAAUUUCCUGGAAAUGCAAGACACAGCUUUACCUUCUGACCAGGGAACAUCUGCCAGGAGUCUCUCCUCAUCCUCAAGCCAAUGACCUUACUUUUUGAACCCUGGCUGGAUGACCCCAUCUUUGGACUCCUUGCCCAUACAUACAGGUCAUCCCAAAGCCCUCAUCAGAAUCCCCGGGACUUGCAAUAGCAUGUGUUUUCCAAAUUGCAAUUUCUCUGGUUUCUGGUAAUUCAAGCUUGCCUCAGUUUACCUUUUUAUUUAGACUGACACUAAUAAUGUAACUUUGGUCAGGUUAUUUAGUAUCUCUAGGCUACAGUUACCUAAUUUAUAAAAUGAGAAUAACAAUACUACCAAUGUUAGAGAUUGCUGGGAGGAUUAAAUGAGUUAAUACUACUAUCAUCUAAAUAUUGAGAAGUGCUUCAGGAAUAAUUAGCAAAUAGUAAGCAAUCUAAAUAGAUAACUUUUACCCUUUAUCAGUAGAUAUUUUUAAUGGAGCAAUAAAAAGUGAGGGGAGUUGAGAAGUAUGUUCCA